rnacentral:tRNA from 2 species
GGAAGGGUGGCAGAGUGGCCGAAUGCGUCUGUCUCGAAAACAGAUUCACGGGCAACCGUGACGGGGGUUCGAAUCCCUCCUCUUCCG